rnacentral:rRNA from 1 species
GAUGAACGCUGGCGGCGUGCCUAAUACAUGCAAGUCGAGCGAACGGACGAGAAGCUUGCUUCUCUGAUGUUAGCGGCGGACGGGUGAGUAACACGUGGAUAACCUACCUAUAAGACUGGGAUAACUUCGGGAAACCGGAGCUAAUACCGGAUAAUAUUUUGAACCGCAUGGUUCAAAAGUGAAAGACGGUCUUGCUGUCACUUAUAGAUGGAUCCGCGCUGCAUUAGCUAGUUGGUAAGGUAACGGCUUACCAAGGCAACGAUACAUAGCCGACCUGAGAGGGUGAUCGGCCACACUGGAACUGAGACACGGUCCAGACUCCUACGGGAGGCAGCAGUAGGGAAUCUUCCGCAAUGGGCGAAAGCCUGACGGAGCAACGCCGCGUGAGUGAUGAAGGUCUUCGGAUCGUAAAACUCUGUUAUUAGGGAAGAACAUAUGUGUAAGUAACUGUGCACAUCUUGACGGUACCUAAUCAGAAAGCCACGGCUAACUACGU